CAAUUUCAACCCAAAGGUACAAGCUACUCGCUCAGAGCAAUGCCUUGGACUGGCCUUGGGGCAUCUCUGGAAAGUGGUGCCUGCCAAUUGUGGAGCAGUGGGCAAAGAGGAGGCUGAUCAAGGAAAUCCAAACUGUCAGCCUUCCAGUCCAAGCAAGUUUUUUUCCACUUACUCCUUACCUUCACAUAUGCUCUAAUUUAUUAAAGAUGUGUUUUAAAAAAACUUUCCCACAACUAUUUAGACAAGGACAAAUGGCACGUCUAUUUGGUUGGUAUAAUCUACCGUAAUAAGACCUGUGUUCACAAUGCAAAGGUUUGAAAAUAAAAUAAGGCACGUCCAACUUUACAAUUGUGUGUUGUCUUGUAGGCCUACUUCUAUGCUUCAUUCCUGUUCACCAUUUCAAAACAAAGCCACGCGCCCAAAGAUAAACUUGGCUUGAACUUGUCACUCGCUGGGCUCCAGUUGCACGUGUGUCUAUUGCCAUGCCAACGCAUCCGCCACACUGCGACCGUGUUGUUUAUCGGUCACAGGAGAAGUUUGCUUCACCUAGCAUCUUAUUACUUUACCAUUUCAGUCGUGAUAAGACAGAUUUUGUAGAACUUACCAGGCGCUUGCUGUAUCGAGUAUGUGAGUCUUCCAUGAUCUGUAGCGAAAAUAAUUAAAUACAUAUGAGAGAACUAAACAGAACUGAGAAAAGGAAAUACAUUACUGAAUUUAUGGCAGGCAGCUGUACCGGCCCAUCACUAGGUUCGAGAGACAGGGGGGAGGCUCAGCCCCAGAGGAAAAAAAUGCACCAAAAAAAAUUCAGCUCACCUGCUAAGAAAAGUCUGAUCCCCAGUACCUCUCCCCACAUCACAAAAUAGGAAAGGAAAUCAGGAGAGAGGGGCAGGGAAACCAUUUUAAGUACUUGUGUUUGUGAACGCAGGGGAAAGGGGCAGGUGCUGACAUGAUGGGAGGAUGAGGGAUGAACAGAUGAGUGCAAGG